CGGUUGAUCCUGCCGGACCCCACUGCUAUCGGGAUGGGACUAAGACAUGCUAGUCGUGCGCUUCCAAGCCACGGUGGAAGCGCGGCGCACAGCUCAGUAGCACGUGGCUAACCUGCCCUUGGGACGGAAAUAACCCCGGGAAACUGGGGCUAAUUUCCGAUAGGUGAAGACUCCUGGAAUGGGUCUUCGCCGAAAGGGCGUCUAGACCAUGCUUCUAGACGCUGCCCAAGGAUGGGGCCGCGGCCGAUCAGGUUGUUGGUGAGGUAACGGCUCACCAAGCCUUUGACCGGUGCGGGCCGUGAGAGCGGGAGCCCGGAGAUGGGCACUGAGCCAAGGGCCCAGGCCCUACGGGGCGCAGCAGUCGCGAAACCUCCGCAAUACACGAAAGUGUGACGGGGCCAUCCCGAGUGCCGUCCGCUGAGGACGGCUUUUCCCCAGUGUACACAGCUGGGGGAAUAAGGAGAGGGCAAGCCUGGUG
rnacentral:rRNA from 1 species